ACCAGUGGCCAAGAUAAAGUCUAUUAGGGUUCUGUUAGCCAUUGCUGCAUUUCAUGAUUAUGAAAUAUGGCAAAUGGAUGUCAAAACUGCCUUCCUUAAUGGAAAGUUGGCUGAGGAUGUUUACAUGGUUCAGCCAGAGGGUUUUGUCAGUACAGAGUACCCCAAUAGAGUGUGUAAGCUCGAGAAAUCCAUUUAUGGAUUGAAACAGGCACCUCGCAGAUGGAAUCUUUGCUUUGAUGAGAAAGUCAAGGAAUUUGGCUUUUCAAGGAGUGAAGAUGAAUCUUGCGUCUAUAUCAAGGCUAGUGGGAGCAUAGUCAGUUUUUUGGUACUGUAUGUGGAUGACAUACUACUCAUAGGAAAUGACAUCCCAACCUUGCAGGAAGUAAAGUCCUGGCUUGGGAAGUGUUUUGCUAUGAAGGACCUUGGUGAAGCUGCCUAUAUCCUAGGGAUAAGGAUUUUGAGAAACAGGAGUAAAAGACUAAUUGGACUUAGUCAAAGCACCUAUGUGGACAAAGUGUUGAAAAGAUUCAACAUGCAUAACUCCAAGAAAGGUGAGUUACCUAUUCAGAGUAAUGCCAGAUUGAGUAAGACACAAAGCCCUAGCACUGAGGCUGAGAUAGCAGAAAUGAGUCGACUACCUUAUGCUUCAGCUGUAGGAUCGAUCAUGUAUGCUAUGACGUGUACUCGACCUGAUGUAGCCUUUGCUUUAAGCAUGGUUAGCAGGUAUCAGGGGAACCCUGGCAAGGAACACUGGACUACGAUAAAGAAUAUCCUCAAGUACCCGCGAAGGACUAAGGACUGGGUACUUACUUUCGGUGGGAGUGAUGACUUGAGAGUUGUAGGGUAUAGUGAUGCUAGCUUCCAGACUGAUAGGGAUAAUUUCCGCUCUCAGUCGGGCUGGGUCUUUACCCUAAACGGAGGAGCAAUUUCUUGGAAGAGUUCCAAGCAAGAGACAGUGGCAGAUUCAACUUGUGAAUCAGAGUAUAUAGCAGCAAGCGAGGCAGCAAAGGAGGCUAUAUGGCUAAAGAACUUCAUCGGAGACCUUGGAGUUGUACCAGCUAUAAAAGAGCCAAUGGAGAUUUUCUGUGACAGCAAUAGUGCGGUUGCCUUAGCCAAGGAACCAAGGGAUCACGGGAGAUCCAGACACAUCGACAGAAAAUACCAUUUUAUCAGACAUCGAAUUGAAGAAGGACUCCUCAUGGCGAAGAGGGUAUCAUCGGAUGAGAACCCGGCAGAUCCCCUCACGAAGGGACUGAGUAGGGUUAAGCAUCUCCAGCAUGCUCGGAGCAUAGGGCUGAAGGAUGAUAUAAGUUUUAGUAGUUAGAUAACCCAGAAAUUUGUAAAGUGUAAUUGACAUUUGAUGAUGAAUAAAAGGUGUUUUAUUUAUGAGUAAAGUGUUGCUAUCUCUUGUCGAUCGUUUACUAUAUUUCUUUUGCAUGUUUUGACUUCCAGAAUAAUUAUGUUUGGUAUAUCAUAUUAUUCAAACCUCCACAGUCGGUCAUAUGUCGGAAGUAGGUAUGAAUCAAGACUGUCAUGAUUGGUUGCAGAGGUCUAAGGUGUUGGACAAGGCUACAACAAUCAUGAGUGCUCAUAAGUUCUGAGCAUUGGACUCAACCCACGCUCACUGGAAUCACUUCAUGGAAUUUUAUCUCGAGUGAUCGUGAGACGGUAAUAUCAUAUAAGUCUUCAAACCUAGAGAUAUGAUUUGUUACUUACGAGUUGGUUAUGCAUUGAUUGUACGAAAACGCAUUGGUAACUCGAUGUUAUAAAACGUGCUUUUGUGUGUAAUUCAAUGAGUGGUAGAACAAACAUAUGAGUCGAAGUUUAUCUGUUCCUUCUUGGAUUAGAAGCUGAUAUCUGGGCCACUCGAUGAUUUUGUUUUGACCUAUGUACCGGGCCCGGUCAGAACUAAGUUGAUGUGUUCAAUUAAGUUCUUUGUCAAACAAAUCAGAAAUCGGGAAACAAACUGCUGGACAAUAAGUAAGACAAUGUUCCAUGUAUUUGUCCGGCUGAUAUCUAGAACAGAGGAUUAUAUGAUCACUUAUCUAAAUGGCGCGUUCUAGUUCAACAGAGUUUAAAGAGCUACGAUUGCUGAUCGGUUCCUGAAGUUAUACUUGCAAAUAUAGUUACUAGACUUAUCCAAGUGGGAGACUGUUGGAUAUAGUGUCUAAGUCCAUAACUAUAUUUGGUAUGUACUUGACCCGACCCGGCAUGGUCCAUUUGGGUUGCACUUCACCCGAACAAUUAUUGGAUAAUAUUUGAGAAUAGUACAGGUUAUGAUUUAUUAAUAUAUUAUAAGUUCUAAUAUAUUAAUAUAAGAUCAUAUUAUUUAAUUAGUAGUGAUCUGUAAUUAAUCUAGGAUUAAUUUAGUGAUCAAAGAUAUUACUAAUUAAAUAUGGGCUUCUAUAUUUAUAUAGUGUGGGCUAGUGCUUAUUUGGAAUGGGCUAGGCUUGCAUGGAAAAGUCCAUGGAUACUCCAUGGAGCUUUGACCCAUGGAUCUCAUGGAAAUGAAGAGACAUGGGUAUUAGGGUUUACAUGGAUGUAACCCUAAUCCACCACACUAUAUAAAGGAGGCUUUGGUUCUUGAAAUCAUACUAGUUGACACUUGUUGAGGUGAGGCCGAUUUCAAGAUAGUAGUAUCUAUUCUCUCAAAGUUCCAAGUUUGUGGUGAUUUGUGAUUUCCACUUGAGGCAUCCACACUAUUGGUGCUAGGCUCUAAAACUCCAAGCAAUCAAUACACCUUCAAAGGUAAGCAUUUCUACUAGCUUUAUUUGAUUCAUGUUCCCCAUGCCAUGCUAGUUAGGAUAUGAACCUUGGAAAAAUAAUUAUUUGCAUGUAUCUUAGACAAACAUAGAUCCAAGGUUUAUUAGGGUUGCAUGUACACUUAGGAAGUGUUAGAAUGCUCAAAACCCAACACCUAUAGGGACCGAACUGCUGAGGAACCGAAACCUUUAGGACCGAACCCGAACCUUGCACUUGGGACCGAACCGAACUUCUAGCCUUCGGACCAAACCUCCUCUCGCCUUAGUUCAAUUUUGACCACCUUCGCCUUCGGUUCCCACCAAGCAACCGAACCCUCGCACCUUCGGUCCCCCAUGCGAGAAGCCUCGCAAACUUCGCCUUUCUUCCCGGUUUUUGACUAGUUUUGAGUUCUAAGCCUGAUUUAAAUUAUUUUAUCGUGGGGUUUUCAACCAAAAACAUAUUUUAACAUAUAAAACCCCUUAUUUCAUAAUUAAUCACGUUUUGAGGCAUAAUCCUUAUCCAAGAAGAGUGGGUGGGAUAUUAUUGGUGGAGUGCUGACUUUGCUUUAGUGUAUGACACAAGCAACCACCCCAUUCCCACUCAAUGACCAACUCUUGUCCUUCCACCAUACCUAGUCAUUGCAUAGUACUCUUCCUACCAUUUUCCUGCCACACACUUGGGCAAGGGCUAGAAAAACCUCCUCUCUCCUCACAUUUCUCUCAGUUUCCACCAAAGAACAAACUUCAUUCUCUCUCACUUUCUCUCUCUAAAUUUCGAGAUUCAAGGCUAUUCUCCAAGAUUUUCUUCUACUUUUGGUAAGUAUUAUCAUCCUUCAUAUGAUUAUUCUACCUUUUUCUAUUCAAAUCAUAGGUUGCUUACACAAACUUCAUCAUAUGUGUGUUAGUUCAUCGAAUCUUCAAGCUAUCUUCUAAGUGUUCUUGAGUUGAACACUUCUUUUCUUCAUCAUCCAUCUACUAAAAUAACUCAAGGUGAGUUCAUACCCCUACAUUUUCAUGUUUUCUUCAUGUUUUAGAGGGGGGGGGGGGAAACAAAUUAAAACACCAAAAACUUAACUAAACUCAAACAACAGCUUUCAUUUGAAAAGUUGAGUCUUAUUCACGGACUGUUUUGACUACCUUAAACUUAAUAUCUUUCAAAACUGUUUAAUAUGAAAAUAGUUGAGGUUCAUACCUUUAAAGUUAAUACUUUCAAAUCUCCAUAAGAUUCUACGAUUUAUGGUGAUUUUUACAAAACUUCCUAUCAUUUCAGAAACGAAUUCGGACCAGUCUGCGAAUAUGAACAUUUUAACACAAGUAAAGACUUCUAAAAAUCAUAAUAAAAAUUAUGACUAAACUAGACACAUUUUGUGAACUCCCAAAAUUUACGGAUUCAGUUUUCGACUUCGUAUGAUUUUUCUAUGACUUUUCUAAAACAGUGUUGAAAGGCUAAAACUAGAUAAUAACCUAUAACAUUCAUAACACUUUGUAUUAUGUUGAGCAAAGUGUAUAAAAGUAAGUUCUAAAUAUUUAAUGUAUUUUAUUGUUAGUUUAUCAUCAUAAGCUGAAAGUUAGUCAUUCAUGAUAAGGAUUCUUCAUUCAUUCGAACACAUAUAAUAAGCUAUAAUAAGCAUAGUUUAUGGAUUUUUACUACAUGAGAAAGGUUUUACUCUCAAAACAAACGGUUUUUCAUAUACUACAUAAUAGUAAUAGUUUAUGGACUCAUAUAACUAAUUUAUUUUCAUAAAAGGGGUUCUUUUACAUUACAAAUGUUUCGGAUAAACUAUAAUAAGUAUAGUUUAUGUACCAAUUAUAUUUCAAACUUAUUUACCAAACGUUUUUAGUUCAUUUCACGUAAAUCUGUUAAUAAAUAAAUUUGUGAGACAUUCGCUUCGUGUUACCUUCAUAGUAACAAAGUCAAAAGUCCUGUAAAUUGUAACCAAAGUCUCUUGUAGGGAGAGCCUAAUAGUUGUGUAUAGAUCUAUAUUGGGUCUGACAAGCCCGCACCUGAGCUGAAUGCAACAACUAGACCGGCAGGUCUGAGGUGACAAGUGUCAUUUAACUUGCGACGCCUGAAGAACGUCAUAUUAUGAGGUCGUCCGAGUCUUAGCAUGGUUAUAAUAGCUCACAUGUGGUAUUAAAAAAUCAUAAGAUUUAUGGGUUUUACUUUUAAAUUAGCGAGUUAUAUGAAUUUAACUCACAUGAAUUACUUUAAGUAUGGAAAAAUACUUGUAUAUUUCGGUCAGGAAAUCUAAGGCUACAUAAAAUUUAUAAGGAAAAUAUUGGAUUUUCUUUGGAAACAUAUUUCUGUUAAAUUUCAUUUCAUCUAGAAUUGUUAGACUUCAGAUAUAAUCGCUAAGUGUAUAUGCUAGGGUGAUAUUAGAAUCUAGUCACAAUCGACUUAGAAUUGGUUGGCCCGCCUUAUCUCCUGUUCCUUGUUUGGUUGUGGACCUAGGGUAGACCCAUUAUAUCCAACAGUUUAUUUAACUUAAAAUUUAUAUAGCUUAUAUAUGUUGGGCGAUUAUAGAAGGAAUCUACGGGUCCUUCUAGGGUACAUUAUCGUAUAACAUAGAAGCAUUCAUUUCCCACUUAAUAAAGAAAAUAUUGGAUUUUCUGCAAACUUACUCUGUCGCUUUUUCAAAGAAAACGGUUUCUUUAUCAAACAAAACUCUUAUGAACUCACGAACUUAAUUGUUGCCACUUUUUCAAAACUACUUGUAUACUUAGGAAAUUAGUGAAACAGGAAAACCAACAACAUUUUGAGGAUGGGACGAUAAAUUUUCAAACAGUUCAUUUUGUCAUCAUAGUCAGGUCUAGGAAUGACAUAGCCUGAUCAACUAUGUCUAUCCUAGAAGUGAUUAGCAUGUGCCCGGGAAUGGUUGUGUUAUUACAACAAGUCUAAAAAGUUACCAACUCUAUCUACAAAGAAACAUUAAAACACAUAAGACAAACAUUAAAAAUACUAUAGGAGUAUUUGGGGAUACUAUAAUCAACUUAUGUGAAAACUAAAGACCCCUAUUAGUAGGUCUAUAAUGACCGACUGCAUACACAAAGGUUAUACAUAAUUAAGGAUACUAUAGACUAAGAAUCUAUGACUAUUGCUCUACUUCCUGUUCCUUGUUUGGUUGUGGACUUAGAGUAGAGUCAUUUAUUCGAAGGUCUACUCUAUCUCAGAUUGUGUAUAAUCUGUAUGCACUAUGUGAUUAUAGACGUGACUGAUAAGAAUCACCCCUAUAAGUAAUUCUAGGAUUAGACGUCUAUUAAUUAUCUCUUUCACCCCUAUUCUCGCACGGACAUCAUGACAAGAUGUUACAUACUAGGAGAACCCUACUUUCCGAACCCGGAGAGUUAGUGAGUGAUGAGGAAAGGAGUCAGAGGUGGUGCCAGUGGUCGAAAACUCUCCUCACAUAGCUUGGGCUCUCGCGAACCGUCUCAAAUCCAUCAAACCUGUGCCCCGUUGGGCAGCAUUGAUCGAGGGAUGGAGUCGCCAUCAGCAACAACAACUCGCCAUUUGGGGACGUAUUAUCGUAAGCAUAGUUCAUUUUACUCACAAGACCUUGUAGAUUAGGUCUAUGAGUAUGUGUUGGUGUUACUCCCCUGCAUGUGUAGGCCCGACCCCACAAGUUAGUGAUUACACUACUCGAGAGAUUCAUUUGCGGUCCAAACUUUUAUUGCAAUGAUGUGGUGUGGACCUGCAUCAGGCUCAAAACCUUCCUCUAAAAACUAAAUAUGCUGAAGUAAUACAAAUAAAAGGGGCAUGCGUAAUAUUUCUUUGGGAGCAAUACUACUAAAAUUCAUAAGUUUAUCAUAUAUAGACUCUCGUUAUGAACUGUUUUCAGAACACCAUAAACAACUGGAACAUGACACACUCAGAGCUAAGAUAAAUAACUCCGGGUGUAUAAACCCUUAUUCAAGACUCACUAUCACCUCACCUUUUUAAGCAUCAUAGUUAAAAGGUGCCCUUUUCGUAGACCUAUGAGGGUGCGAUCAUAUCAGUACUAAUGCAUUGUGUCCUAUCAAAACUCCUCAGCCAGGUAUGUUUGGACAAACAUGAUCCCAAGAUGAGUAAAGCAUAACUCCCGUAUGAAACCUACUUCUACCCACUACCAUAACUCCGUCUUAGGGACGUUAGCAGAAACACCGAGAAUAGUUCAGUAAAGUGAUAAAUUUAUAUAUGUGUAUAUAAAUGGUAAGGAUAUAACUAGAGAUAAUCAUCCCUACUCAUGACAUCGUUUCUCUCCAUGCAACAUGAUUAUGUCUUCACAAGAAGGUAACCAGCCAACAAGCAAGGCAACAAUCCUGCAGAUACACCCUGCUACCUUUCAAGCUACAGUCACGGCAGCAGUGACAACCGUCAUGGCGCAACUCAAUGCUAACAAUUCCAACAGAGAUGGAAGCGGUAUCAAUAAUACAAAUUGUUGUAACAAUCAGGAACAUCGACGGGUGUCUGCCCAUGAAGGCGCCUCGGGCCACAAACCUACGAACAAGAAGCAAAAGUUUUGGAACAAAAAGGAACGCAACCGAUCUCAGGGAUUCGCUAAAAGACAACAGCCCAUGGCCACCCCUGCCAUUACAAUAGCAGUCACGACACAUGCCUCGGCACUAGCCACAAGGUCUAUCACCCAAGCACCGACCAGACCAUAUAAGGGAUCACUCCCAAGGUGUAACAAGUGUGGCUACCAUCACAAUGGGGUUUGUCGGGUGAUGCAUUGUAAAAACUGCAACAAGAACGAACAUACUGCCCGCUUUUGCAGAAACCAGACUCAACAUCUCGCUUCAACCACCAACACCUGGGUAGGCCCAUGAUGCUACCUAUGCGGUGAAACGGGACACUUCAAGAGAGAAUGUCCAACUGAGAAGAAUGACGGGGGAGAAGGAGGAGUGUGAUGAACAAACCAGCAGGAGCACCAAGGGAACGCUAUUAGGACUUUUGUAAUUUUCCCAACGACAAAACGUUUAAGUACCAUAUAUUUGUUAUGAAUUUGGUAUGCUUGCUAAAAUUACCGUCUUUCUAAAAGUAGUUAAAAUUCUCUUUCAUCCAAAUCAAAUCAAAGACACUCAUAUAUGACCUUAGGAUCAUUACCUGUAAGCUGUGAUGACUUUGUACAUACAUCGGGGUUAAUUAUAAUCAAAAUACUAAAGACUUAAAGCAAAUAAUUCCAUCCUGACUCCUAUUCCAUGUCUAGUAGUGGGAUUAGGGUGGAGCCACCACUCGAUGAUUUCACCAAUAUCAAAUUACAUGCGACGUACAUAUAUCACUCGAUCAUAGAGUGACCUAUCAGGGAUCAUGAUAUCAAGUAUCAUUGCUAGCAAUCAGAACACACUCACCACUAGUGCUCGACACUGUGGUAUGAAUCAUCUGCAGUAAUAAUAACAUCGAACAAAAUGGAGCACACUGAAAAGAAACACAAGAUACCCAAUCACCCUAAUGAUCACUUCUUACGAAUACAGCUUAACACAUGUUUUACAUAAAAACAUAUUGUUUUCACCAUUCAAUUUUGAUUGGUAUAGUUCUCAUCUUCCCGAUUUAACGGCUAUGAAAGGACCCUUCACCUAACCCACCGGAUAUCGAAACCGUCGUCUCUCACGACCCUAAAUCUUACUUUGACUCUCUUGUCAUCCUUCAUUGCGAAACCCCAAAACACUCUCUGGAGUUGUGUUAUACCUUCUGUAACCUUUUCAAUUUAUUCCUAGUAAACCCUUCGAGGAUAUCACUCAUAUAUCUGGUCAAGAUCAAGCAUGGAAGCUUGGGACAAAUAUGGUUAGUCUAUCACUACUAUGUGUAUAUACGAGGAUAAUAUAUAAUUAAAGUUCUACGGACAUUGGAUGUGUGCUUCCGCCCUAUUUCCUAUUCCUUGUCUGGUUGUGGACUUGGGGCAGAGUCACCCAUCCAACUGCCUUACCAACCAUAAUUACAUACGACCUAUAUGCGCGAGUUAAUGAUAGAUGGACCAGGUAUGAGUCCUACCAGGAACUUCGAGACAAGACUACCCAGAAGUGCGAUUGAACGUCCUACCAUUCAAAUUAAUCUAAGUCGUGUAAAUUGAACCCACAUGCUUCCUACCGAUCUAACCGACAAACGAGAAACACUACAGCAGGCCUUAUACAACGCUCCGAGAAGAAGUUAUUACUUAUGACUUAUGAUAGCUAAAGACGUACGGUCAGCUAGGUCACGCGUGACCUCGAACUAGGGGUGGUAGCAUUCACCCUAGAGAUCUAGAGACACUAUCUCCAUGAUACGAAGUGUAUAAUCUUCACUGAUCAUAAGAACCUAGAAGGAAAGGACGGUAGGGCGUGCUAUCUCAUGAACCGGAUCUGGACGCUGAUGUUGAUGGAAUCAGAAAUGACGUCAUGAACAAAUCAGCACAUUUCCUUCCGAUAAAGGAAACCAAUAAGAUAGAUAAAUUGAGUAGAACGUACAUCAAGGAGAUUGUACGACUGCAUGGCGUACCAAUAUCCAUUAUCUCCGACUGGGAUAGUAGGUUUACCUCAUGGUUUUGGCAAUCAUUACAAAAAUCUCUAGGGACUAGGCUUGACAUGAGUACGACCUACCAUCCACAAACCGACGGAUAGAGCGAGCGAACCAUACAAACGCUAGAAGAAAUGUUGAGAGCUUGUGUGAUAGAUUUUGGUAAAGCAUGGGAUACCCAUUUACCACUUAUCGAAUUCUCCUACAAUAACAAUUUUCACAUUAGCAUCAAAGUUGCUCCAUUCGGAGCUCUUUAUGGUAGCAAGUACCGAUCACCCCCGUAUUGGGCAGAAGUGGGGGACACACGGCUAGCUAGGGGGCAAGUCCCUAAUAGCACCCUCACUGGUCCUGAAAUCAUAAGGGAGACCACAGAAAAGAUUGUUCAAAUUCGGGAAAGACUAAAAGCAUCCCGAGAUCGGCAAAAGAGUUACGCGGAUAAGCGAAGCAAACCCUUGGAAUUCUAGGUCAGUGAUCGGGUACUAUUGAAAGUUUCCCCUUGGAAAGGAAUGAUACGCUUCGGUAAAUGUGGGAAACUAAACCCAUGGUACAUCGGACCAUUCGAAAUCCUUGCCAGGAUUGGCCCAAUGGCGUACAAACUCCGAUUACCACAAGAACUAAAUCAAGUACAUCCUACCUUUCACGUGUCAAACCUAAAGAAGUGUCUGUCUGACGAGACUCUCAUGAUACCCCUCGACGAAAUUGAAAUUAACGAGAGUCUCCACUUCGUGGAAGAACCAGUUGAAAUCAUGGAUCAGGAGAUCAAAAGAACGAAACAAAGUCGUAUUCCCAUUGUGAAGGUUCAUUGGAACGCUAAACGAGGACCCAAGUUCACCUGGGAACGCGAGGAUCAAAUGAAACAAAAAUACCCACAUCUCUUCCCGAACUCUUGAAGUCCCAGUCAAAAUGAAAAUUUCGGGACAAAAUUCCUUCUAACGAGGGGAUGAUGUGACAACCGUCAAAUUCUGAUCAAGUCAAAGUUAAACAAAGUCAACAAGUCAAACCAGUCAACUCAGUUAACCCUUAUAUACUAGAGUUUACGUUAUGUAAUUACUGUACAACUUGCUAUUCUAAUGAGAAAUCGACAAUUGAAAAGUUCGUAUAUCCAGAUUUUCUUAACCUAAAAUUGUGGUAAAUAAUGAACCAAAGCGAUAAAACAAUAUUGCAUACUCAUUGGGAGUGUGUAAGAUCCUUAAACAUGGCUUAACGAGAUUUACGGACCUUGCGUUGUGAAGCCAAACACUCAAAAAUGUCACAAAAGAAGCCUCUCCCAGUCUCUUUCACUCUAUCUCUCUCUGUUAAAAUCUCUCCCAAAUCUCUCUCAAAAGUUCCUUUAACUUUUUGUAAUCAUUCGGGUCAUCCUGACCAUUAAUUGGGUCAAAAACCACUUAAAACGGGGUAAAAAUGGGAAAAAUAGCCUUAAGGAACCGUAACCCCUCUUUAUGGGGCGAACCCUCUUAGAACCGAAGGUCCCUAUAGGGACCGAACUGCUGAGGAACCGAAACCAUCAGGACCGAACCCGAACCUUGCACCAGGGACCAAACCGAAAUUCUAGCCUUCGGACCGAACCUCCUCUCGCAUUCGAUCUAUUUCACUUCUCGGCCAAGUUCGCUUCUGACCACCUUCGCCUUCGGUUCCGACCAAGCAACCGAACCCUCGCACCUUCGGUCCCCCAUGCGAGAAGCCUCGCAAACUUCGCCUUUCUUCCCGGUUUUUGACUAGUUUUAAGUUCUAAGCCUGAUUUAAAUUAUUUUAUCGUGGGGUUUUCAACCAAAAACAUAUUUUAACAUAUAAAACCCCUUAUUUUGUAAUUAAUCAUUUUUUGAGGCACAAUCCUUAUCCAAGAAGAGUGGGUGAGAUAUUAUUGGUGGAGUGUUGACUUUGCUUUAGUGUAUGACACAAGCAACCACCCCAUGCCCACUUCAUGACCAACUCUUAUCCUUCCACCAUACCUAGUCAUUCCAUAGUACUUUUCCCACCAUUUUCUAGCCACACACUUGGUUAAGGGCUAGAAAACCCUCCUAUCUCCUCACAUUUCUCUCAUUUUCCACCAAAGAACAAACUUUAUUCUCUCUCACUUUCUCUCUCUAAAUUUCGAGAUUCAAGGCUAUUCUCCAAGCUUUUCAUCUACAUUUGAUAAGUAUUAUCAUCCUUCAUAUGAUUAUUCCACCUUUUUCUAUUCAAAUCAUAGGUUGCUUACACAAACUUCAUCAUAUUUUUGUUAGUUCAUCGAAUCUUCAAGCAAUCUUCUAAGUAUUCUUGAGUUGAGCACUUCUUUUCUUCAUCAUCCAUCUACUGAAAUCACUCAAGGUAAGUUCAUACCCCUACAUUUUCGUAUUUUCUUCAAGUUUUUAGGGGGGGGGAUACAAGUUAAAACACCAAAAACUUAACUAAACUCAAACGACAGCUUUGAUCAGAAAAGUUGAGUCUUAUUCACGGACUGUUUUGGCUACCUUAAACUUAAUAUCUUUCAAAAAUGUUUAAUAUGCAAAUAUUUCAGGUUCAUACCUUUAAAAUGACUACUUGCAAAUAUCCAUACGAUUUUUCUACGAUUUAUGGUUAUUUUUACAAAACUUCCUAUCAUUUUAGAAAUGAAUUCGGACCAGUCUCCGAAUAUGAACAUUUUAACACAAGUUACAGACUUCUAAAAAUCAUAAUAAAAAUUAUGACUGAACUAUACACAUUUUGUGAACUCCCAGAAUUUACAGAUUCAGUUUUUCAGUUCGUAUGAUUUUUCUAUGACUUUUCUAAAACAGUGCUGAAAGGCUAAAACCAGAUAAUAGCCUAUAACAUUCACAACACUUUGUAUUAUGUUGAGCAAAGUGUAUAGCAGUAAGUUCUAAAUAUUUAAUGUAUUUUAUUGUUAGUUUGUCAUCAUAAACUGAAAUUUAGUCAUUCAUGAUAAAGAUUCUUCAUUCAUUCGAACACAUAUAAUAAGCUAUAAUAAGCAUAGUUUAUGGAUUUUUACUAAAUGAGAAAGGUUUUACUCUUAAAACAAAUGGGUUUUUCAUAUACUACAUAAUAGUAAUAGUUUAUGGACUCAUAACACUAAUGUAUUUUCAUAAAAGGGGUUCUUUUACAUUACAAACGUUUCGGAUAAACUAUAAUAGGUGUAGUUUAUGUAUCAUUUACAUUUCAAACUUAUUUACCAAAGGUUUUUAGUUCAGUUCACGUAAAUCUGUUAGUUAAUAAAUUUUGAGACAUUCGCUUCGUGUUACCUUCAUAGUAACAAAGUCAAAAGUCCUGUAAAUUGUAACUAGAGUCUCUUGUAGGGAGAGCGUGAUAGUUGUUUAUAGAUCUAUAUUAAGUCUAACAAGCCUGCACCUGAGCUGCAUGCAACAGCUAGACCGGUAGGUCUGAGGUGACAAGUGUCAUUUAACUUGCGACGCCUCAAGAACGUCAUAUUACGAGGCCGUCCGAAUCUUAGCAUGGUUAUAAUAGCUCACAUGUGGUAUUAACAAAUCAUAAGAUUUAUGGGUUUUACUUUAGUGAGUUAUAUCAAUUUAACUCACAUGAAUUACUUUAAGUAUGGAAAAAUACUUGUAUAUUUCGGUCAGGACAUCUAAGGCUACAUAACUUCUAUAAGGAAAAUAUUGGAUUUUCUUUGGAAACAUAUUUCUGUUAAAUUUCAUUUCAUCUAGAAUUGUUAGACUUCAGAUAUAAUCGCUAAGUGUAUAUGCUAGGGUUAUAUAAAAAUCUAGUCACAAUCGACUUAGAAUUGGUUGGCCCGCCUUAUCUCCUGUUCCAUGUUUGGUUAUGGACCUAGGGCAGACCCAUUAUAUCCAACAGUUUAUUUAACAUAAAAUUUAUAUAAUUUAUAUACGUUGGGAAAUUAUAGAAGGAAUCCACGGGUCCUUCUAGGGUACGUUAUCGUAUGACAUAGAAGCAUUCAUUUCCUACUUAAUAAAGAAAAUAUUGGAUUUUCUGCAAACUUACUCUGUCGGUUUUUCAAGGAAAACGGUUUCUUUCUCAAACAAAACUCUUAUGAACUCACCAACUUAAUUGUUGACACAUUUUCAAAACUACUUGUAUUCUCAGGAAAUCAGUGAAACAGGAAAACCAACACCAUUUUGAGGAUGGGACGAUAAAUCGUCAAACAGUUCAUUUUGUCAUCAUAAUGUAAUUGAUUUUGAAUCAUGUAAACUUAUUCCAUGGUGUAACUUUUUCAAUUAUAUUUAUGAUGGUUGUAUUUACUUUGAACACUAUUAUACUCAUUGUUGUGAUACUAUACAGGAUGUCCGCCACCCCCGGACGUUUCUGCCAUCCUUGGUUUGGAGGUGUGACAAUAGAUCAGGUUGUAAACGGUGCGAGCCAUCAUUCUUCUUGACAAAAAGGAUCGGUGCAACCCAAUGAUGUUGAGAGAAAAACUUGAGUCACACUUGAACAAACAUUAGAACAAGUUAUAAUGCGGAAUAAAGUUUAACUCAAAGGAUCAUUAAAGCUCAACGUUAAUAGUAAGUUAGAGUUAGAAGAUUAGAUAGUUAGAUGCCGAAAUGUAAGGAAAUAAAAAGACAACAAAUAUUUUAACAAGUAUACACGUAAGUUGAUUCAUAACAAGGAAUGCAUUCAGACCAAGUUAGUAAGUGAGAUCAAACUUAGUGAUUAAGUCUAGAUAGACUUGCUCCGAAGAGAGAUUUCAACCAAUUACUAUUCUGUUUAAGUGAUAAGUGAGAAGUGAGUAAAAUGAGUAAAAGUAUUCAAGAUGCGUAAGAGAAGUUUUUUUUAUAGAAAGAGAGAGAGCUCUAUUUAUAGAGUCUCAAGGAUUACAAAUAGUCUAAUAUGUUAAAGAGUUGCCAUGCAAGGCACAAUAGAUAAAGAAAAGUAGUCAUACAAAAACAGAUAAAAGACUAAACUAAUAAUAGCUGACUGCGGUUGUUGAUCUUUGAUUGCGGUGUUGAGAUUGGUUGUGGUUGCUGAAAGUUGCUUCAGAUCUCUUUUAAGUUUAAGAGGGUCACUUUUAUGUUUCAGCAAUUUCCCCCUUAGCGACCUCUUCAACUUUUCUUCAAGUGUUGAUUUUGAGAAACUUGAUGAGAAUCCACCAGAAUUUCCUGACUUCCUUAAGCCUUAAGCCAUGUGAUUCUUCUUGAGAUUUCAAACUUCACUUCAGCAGUUGUGUGUUUUGAUUUGUUGACUACAGUUUGAGUGAUCUCCAAUUGCUUCCUGGUCAUGCGGUUCAUGGCAGUCAUUGGGAUGAAAUAUUUUGUUUCAUCAUUCUUGCGUUUGAAUAUGACUUCAGGAUCUGGGAAGUUGGUUGAUCCAAGGGAUCUUUCUUGAAAGCCUUUAGUUAGGACCGAAGUUGCCUUAAGGGGAGAAAGGUUGAGCUUUUGAGCAAGUGUCGGGUGGAUAUCCGCAUCGAUCCUUGAAAAAUCACUAACAAUUUCUUUUAGAAAGGUGCAUGACCUUUCAUACGCAACCUGCAUCUUUGGGUGCUUAUCCAUCUUGUUCUGAAAUACCUUUGAAAUCAGGAAGAUUUCUUCCGGGUUCAUGCAAGGAAAAUCAGCUUGGGUUAAGAUGUAAUCUGAGUUUCUUCUGGUGAGAGUAUACUGAAUGAAUUCGACAUUUAUGAAUUUUCGAGGCUUGUAAUUUUUGACUGUAGUGGGCCUAUCAUUUGACCAGAUUUUCUCAAUAGACGACCCAUGCUUGGCAUGAAAUCUCUUGAGUCUUUUAAACACUAAGGGCAACCUUUUAUCAUCGGGAUGACUACGGUCAAAGGAUUCUAAAACAGUGAAGUAUUUGGCAUUUGGUGAGAUGGGGAUGUCCCAGUAACCAUCAUGGGGAGGUUCUGCGUAUGUGAGAUAGGGCUUAUAGUCGUCAUCCAGGAGUCUGCUGUGCGGAUUGAACCUUGAGUUGAUAACAUAUUCAUCCAUUGUAAUAUCAACUCCAUUUUCCCUCCAGAUCAACUCAGCGAAUUUAGCGAAUCUCCAGUUAGCUUUCUUCCGUUUGGUUGCGGGAGAGUCGUUUAAGUGAUCUGAUGACAUGUGAGAAACUAGGUUCUUGAAAUGAGGAGGAGUCUCAGGUCGCUCAGGAGAAUGAUGAGGUUCUUGAAUUGGUGUUUGUUUCGGCAAAGACUGAUGACUUGGACUUCUAUGAGGAGAGGGAACAAAUGUUUUCUUCUAUGGAGAUGGUUGCGGUGUCCGUUGAGGAGUUGGUUCUUUAGACUUGAUGGGAGAGUGCGGAUGAGAGUGUUGAGGAGAAAUUUUAUUUGAGUUAUGGUGAUCUAAUUCAUGGUUUUCACUUCCCCCUCUUGAGGAAGGAGCAAUUGAUACUUCCUCAAGCCAUUGCCUCAUGCCAUCAAUUAUGCCACAGACUUCAUCAAAUUGAGCCUUUAUAGCAUCAACGUGUUGUUGGUUGUUUGGGAUUGCGGGGUUAAAUAGAUACCGGUGAAUUUCCUUGGUGAGGUGCAGGAUUUUGGAACCGUGAAAGUUGGAGGAUAGUGAUUGGUGGAGGCUAUUGAUGGUUGACUAUAGAAUCGAAAUUGCAGAUUCAUACGCAUUGUGUGUCUCUUCAACAACUUUCUGUGACUGAGCAGACUGAUCCUUAAUGAUUUUUUGAAGAUCCGAUUUGAUGGAGGAUACUUCAGAGAUAAGUUUCUCAGCAGUGGUGAUGAAAUGUUGAUGAUCAGUUCCGCGGUUGUUGUCUAGGGCUCGGAUGCCCAUUUCCACCUUGAGGGAGAUGUGUUCUGUAACAAGAUUCUCUCUGGCCUCCAGUCUUUCAAUGCAAUCGAUGAGAGACUGCGAACCAGGCGAGUCUUCAGACCGCGGUUGAGAAGAUUUGAUAGCAGCAAGAAUCUGAUCCACUUUAUCUUGUAGAGAUAGGAAUUAUUUUCUGGAAACUGCUUGCUUCUUCUUCUUCUCCUUGGGCUUAGAAGUGGAAUGCUGAGAACCGUUGGAUUCCUCUUCUUCAUCAAAAAUCAUCAUUGGAUCAUUCGAGGGGUCUCGCCGAUUUACUUCAUUCAUGUCAAAGUUGUCGAAGCCAAAGGUUGAUGUAGAACUGACUUCGAUUGCGGUUCCUUCUUCUUGAGAGUUAUUAGUAGCAGUUGUUGGAGGGGGCCUGGAUGAUCCUGCACCAUUGGGAUUGGAUUGGGCUUUACGGAUGGUCUUGGCCAUUUCAUCCAUCGAGUUCUAGACUUUGAGAACUGUAGCCACCGUGUUGGCAUUGUUUAUGGCGUCGACCCAACAUUUGGCUACAGUUUGAAUCUCCUGCUGCUUUUGUUGAAGUUGCUUGGUUUGGUGAUCUUUUCUUGCUUGAAAUGCCCUUCAAAAAGCGGCAUACUUUUCGACUUCUGAAUUCUGAAUCAGCGACUGGAUUGUAAUGUCUCCAGGAAUCAUUUGAUUUAUCACCGUCAAAUCCUUGAAAACGCACCGAGGUGUCCCUCGGGUUCACAAAUCCUUGCACAUUUGUGCUCACUAUGCCUAAACCACCUGAAAAAGAUGGAAUCAGAGUAGGAUUUCUGGAGCGUCCUUGGUCUCCUUGAACCAUGGUCAAGUUUGGCCUCGGCUCCGUUCUGGCAUGGGCUGAAGAAUCACCCUGCAGUUGGGUAGGUGUAUUAAGUGUUUGGAUUACAGAGUCUAGAAUGGAGCACAACUCCGGUUCUUGAAAGAAGUGAAGCCUGGAAGCCCUGGAUACCUUAGGGAAAGAAGAACCAAUUAGAUCCUCUUGGGAUCUAGUUGGGGAUGAGUCUCGACAUUGAGAUGAAUCGUGCACACUUGCUGUGCUCGAGUAGCUAGAUAGGGUAGUAGCGAAUGGGUUUGCGGGUACCCCAAGGACUACCGGAGCCUUUUGAGAGGCUAGGGUAUCAGUCUGGUCACACAUAUGGGAAGUGGAUUUGGUUUUCUUUUUCUUGAGAAUGGUGAUUGGAGUAGUUUCUAGAUCAGAAUCAUCAGAAGAUUGAUCUGAGUCACCAUCUGAUGAAACAGCUUGUUGGAGUUUACAUUUCUUAGAGGGUUCUGCUUCCUUGGAAGGUUUGAUUUUCUUAGGUGCUUUACGUUUUUGGGUGUUUCACCCAGGGCAUGAGUUUUUCCCUUGUUGUAGGGGCCUUGCUUGGCUGAGGCUAGCUUCUUUUGUAUUUGAGCUAAGGGAAUAUGAGAUAAGGUAGUAGAGGAAGGAACUACGGAUUGCUCUGGUAGAGUGGGUGCGGUAGAGGUUAAAAUGCUUUGGCUGGGGAGAGGCGGGGUAAAAAGGUAUGGGUCAAUACCUUCCGUAGCCUCAAUAUGGUCUGUGACUAAUUAGGUCUCAAGUCCAACCGUAUUCAAGAUGUGAAUGGACAAACAUCUAAUUGGUCCAAAGAUAUAUUGGUCAUUAGAAGGAGCGUACCUGUUGAGAUUGCGGGUGAUGAAGAAGUUGAUGUCAUUGCCCAUACUGAUCUUGGCGUUUAAAUGAAGAUCUAAAAUGCAGAGCGCCCAAAACCUUGCAAAGGUAAGCUUGGUUUGAUUUUCCUUUCGAUUCUCCUUAGGGAUGUACUGGAGAAAGUCACCCUAAAGAAUCUGACCGUAGUUAACAUCAUGGCCUGUGAAGAUGCUCCAUACGAGCUCAAGUAGGUUGAGGCCCAUGAUAUCUAUGCCUCCGGUUCUACCAGAUAAACUGCGGAUCACGAAAUGACAUACAAAUUUCCAUACUACAGGCAGUUGGUUCUUCUUGAAAUCUCAUAUUCCUUUGAUCUUCUUCUGAUAUCCCAUUUGAUACAGGGUGGAGGUGAUGUUUGUAACACUGGGUAAGAAGAACUUUGUGGAGGGAUGCACGAGUAGGUUCAUUGCAACAAGAAACUUGUCUUUGGUCAAGAUGACCAGGGAGUCGUCCACUAUAUUCAGAUGAACUUCUGGAUUUUGUUGAGGGGACGAUGUGUAGAAAAGGCACAUUUGAACAAUGUGGAGAUGGGAACCACAUCAGUGAAUGCGUCGAAUGGUCCAAAGAGAUGGUGAUUGGAGAUGAAGUUGAUCAUGAGGCGAAUCGAGUCAUUGUAAGUGGGUUGAUCAUCAAAAAUUGCCCUAAAAUUGCUAGACGCGAUCGAAGGCGAUUGGUUUCAUGUAGUUGAAUCGGAACCAGUUGGGUGGGCAGAGACAGAUGCUUUGGAUGGUUUCUUUGAGAUUCCUGAUUUCACCAUUUUGAAAAGAUUGAAGAACUUGCAGGAAAACUUGAGGUGCAAGAGGGAAGAAGGAAGUUGUUCGCCUUUGAGAGAUCAGAAAGCGUAAAGCUUUCUUGGAGACAAAAAGAGGGUUUUUUAUAGUGGCGGAUUUUAAAAAGUUAUUGUUUUUAGCCUUAAAGAAAAGGUGGUUAAGGAUAAAAACCUUUGAGUUUUUUUAUUUUUUAUUUUUUUAAAUUUAAGGAAGUCAUUAUCAGCCACAAAAAAAUAUUUAACGAAAAGUUUUUUUUGUUAGUUUUUAAAAAAAACAUUUAAUGAAAUGUCAGACCCAAUACCCCAUGUCUGAAGAACGUGUGGUGAGGAGCGAUAAUCAGUUGUAUAAAGGAGAAAUUUGUAAUAGAUUUGACAUUUUGGGGUAAGAGGAAAAGACAGUUUAAGGAAAAGAUUUUCUAAAAAGAUUUCUUUUACUGGAAAUUGUUUUAUUUUGGCAUCACACCCAAAAUAGGUCUGAGAAAAGGUUUAUUUGAGAAGUAGAACUGAAACGAUCAUAUGCCAGAAAACGAAUAUUUUGAGAAUGUUUUUUUUUUCUUAUUUAAUGAAGACUCAUUAAAUAGUACACGAUGUUUCAAGAAUUUAUGAAGUAUAUGAGAGUUCCAUAAUCGAGAUUGCGGUUUGAGUCUUCAUUGCAGAUUAAGACUUUAUUGCUGAUUGAGACAUCAUUGCGGAUUGAGACUUCAUUGCAGAUUGAGACUUCAUUGUGAAUUGAGACUUCAUUGCAGAUGACAGGUUAGAUGACUGCGUUUGAGGAAAAUGAGAAGAACACUUGAACAAAAUAAGAAAUAACAACUAAUCAAGGACCCUUGAAAUAUAGGUAUGAUAUAUGGUUGCGGUAUAUUUAGUAUAUUGCGGUACAUAAAAUGUAUUACAAUACACAAGAUAUAAUGAAACUAUAUAAGAUAGAUAUAUUUAGUUAGGACCGCAAUGGCGACCAUGAGUGAUCUGCGGUACCUAUCAAUUCAAGAAGAAUUGCGGGUCUGGAUUCAUCAUUCCUAACAUUUGUUAGAAACUGCUGAGUUUUGUAGAGUCAAGUGCCUUUGUGAACACAUCAGCAAUCACUUCAUGAGUAUGAAUAAAAAUUAGUUCAAUGUUACCUUUCAGAAUGUGAUCUUUAAUGAAGUGGUACCGUAGUUCAAUAUGCUUCGUCUUAGAGUGGUGAAUUGGAUUAUGAGAAAUUGCUAUGGCACUCUGAGAAUCACAGUAAAUCAGUAUGUGCAGCAUCCCAUAUUCAUAGUCCAAAAAGUUGCGUUUUCAUCCAUAAAACUUGUGAGCAGCAGCUGUCUACUGCCACAUAUUCAGCUUAUGUGGUAGACAGUGAGACAUAGCUCUGUUUCCUUGAUGACCAGCUGACGAGUCUUCCAGCGAGAAACUGACAUCCACCUAAAGUGCUUGUGUUGUCCAAUCUACAUCCAGCAUGAUCCGCAUCUGUGAACACUUGUAAGCUGAAGUCGUUUCCUGUGGGAUACCAAAGACCUAGAGACUUGCUGCCUUUUAAGUAUCAUAGGAUCUCCUUGGCUGCGGACAUAUGAGAUACUUUUGGAUCGGCUUGGUAUCUUGCACAUACUCCUGUUGCAAAGACAUUGUCUGGUCGGCUUGCGGCGAGGGGUACAUCAGUGAGCCAAUUAUUCCUCUAUAGGCAUUUUUGUCCACUGAUUCUCCGGAAGGAUCAGUAGAAAUCUUGAAUCUGAAGGCCAUUGGGACUUUGGCAGAGGAAUAGAUGUCCAUUGAGUAUUUCUUCAGUAGUUCAGUGGUGUAUUUCUCUUGAUGGAUGAAUAUCCCUUGAGGGACUUGUUUCACUUGAAGUCAUAGAAAGAAAUUAAUCUCUCUAUUCGUGCUCAUUUUGAAUUUGUUGGUCAUGAGCUUUGCAAAUUCAUCCACCAUCCCCUGAUCCGUUGAUCCGAUGAUGAUAUCAUCCACAUAUAUUUAUACAAGUAUAAGGUGAUUACCAGUUGCCUUUCUAAAUAAAGUGGGAUCAAUCAUUCAUCUUUUGUAUCCGGACGAGAUAAGAAAUUCAGAGAGAGUCUCGUACCAUCCUCUUGGAGCUUGCUUUAGACUGUAAACUGCUUUCUCAAGCUUAUAACAGUGGUCUGGAAAUUUAAUGCUUUCGAAGCCAGGAGGUUGCUGAAGAUAGACCUCCUCUUUCAAUUCACCAUUGAGAAAAGCACUGUUCAUAUCCAUUUGAUGUACUUUAAUGUUCUUGUGAGCUGCGUAUGCUAAGAAGAUGCAGAUGGCUUCCAUUCAUGCUACAGGGGCGUAUGUUUCAUCAUAGUUAAUACCUUCAAGUUGACUAUACCUCUUGGCGACUAGUCUUGCUUUGUUUCUUACUAUCGCACCAGAUUCAUCCAGUUUGUUCUUAUACACCCAUCUGGUACCAACAAUAGUGUGACCUUUUGGCUUUGGAACGAGUUGCCACACUUUAUUUCUUUUAAACUCUUCUAGUUCUUCUUGCAUCUCUAUAAUCCAAUUGGGCUCCAUCAAUGCUUCUUUGAUGGUUCGGGGCCCUACUGAAGACAUAAAUGCAGCAAAGUGACAAUGAUUAGAUAAGUAUCGUGAGGAUCGAGUUUGCAUGCCUGCUGAUGGGUUUUCGAUGAUUUGUUCUGGUGGGUGAUCCUUUGUCCAUACAUGUAGAUGAGGUUGAAGGUGAUGAAUGGCUGCGGUGGAUGGGAUGUCUUCAAUAUCUGAAGAUUCUGCAGUUGGGGAUGGCAGUUCCCCCUGGACUUGUGACCAGCUAACUGAAUUGUCUUGAGUUUGGAAGGUGGCAUUAGAGUUUUCUUCUGAUUGAGGUUCCCUUGGAUUGCGGACGGGAUUUCCUCUUGAAGCUGAGAAGGUUCCCCCUAGAUUUUUGGAAGUAUGAUAACCCUUGGGUCAGUUCUUGUAUCAAUGUUUUCUAUAUUCUCGUCAUCUGAGUCAGAAGAAACAUCUGAUGGUAGAGAUCCUUUGCGGAUAGAAACUGGAGCUACAUCAUCAAGUACUGGAACCUUUAUGGUUGUUUCUUGAUCCAAAGUUGAGUUUCCCCCCUCAACCGGGGAGGUGGAAGUAUUGAGUGAUACUUUAUCAGAUAGAGACGGACCAGAUACAUCGGCAUGCUGCUGUUGAGCUUCCGGGGACAUAAGAACUUCGGAUAGUCGAGCAGUCUCUAUAGGGUCAAAGAGAUCAUAGUUUAAUUCAACUAUGUUUAAUGGACCUGAGGAGGCAGGAAUAUCACUUUCCAGGAUUGCUUUGGUUUAAGUUGAUGGAGUGAUGUUGCGGACGUAAUAAUCAGCGAAUUUGACAUCGAAGCUUUCGAUUAUUAGUCUUGUGCAUCUAAUGAGAACCCUAUAUGCUACUUUAUUUGUUGAGCAGCCAAGAAAAAUGCCUUCAUCAUACUUUGGUGCGAACUUGUUAAUAUGAUCUUUGUUGUUGAUGACAAAACAUCUACAUCCAAAUAUGUGAAAGAAACGGACAUUUGGUUUACAGUUGUUAAGGCCCUAAUAAGGAGUUUUACUGAGACGCUUGCAAACAAUGCUUCGGUUUUGAACAAACCAUGUCGUGGCCAUUGCUUCGACUCAGAAGUAGAGAGGAAGGUGUGUGAAGUUAAGCAUAGAUCUGGCUGCUUCUACCAGAGUUCGGUUCCUUCGCUCUACUACUCCAUUCUGCUGCAGUGUGUAGGGAGCUGAGAAGUUGUGACUUAUACCUUUUCAAACCAAGAAACUGUUUAACAUGUGAUUGAUAAAUUCGGUUCCGUUAUCACUUCGGUUGCGGCGUACUGGCAAUUUGAUCUAAAUUUCAAUUUCUUUGAUAAAAUUGACAGUAUCUGUGGAGUUUCAGAUUUUAGUGUCAAAAAGAAGACCCAAAUGAAAUGAGUGAAGUCAUCAACUAUAACCAUUAUGUAUCUUUUGUGAUGAAGACUGGCUAUGGUAGUUGGACCAUAAAGAUCAAUGUGCAGGAAUUCCAGUGGUUCAGAAAUCGAAGAAUCAAUCACCAUUGGGUGUCUUGCUUUGGAUUGUUUGCCACAUUCAUAUGCAGGACAGAGUGUAUCAUUGCUAAAUUUGAGAAUUUGGAGACCUCAGACGAGUUCUCUGUUGACCAUAUUGUUGAUAUAUUUGUAAUUAAGAUGAGCUAGCGUGCGGUGCCAUAGCCAGCUAACUUCAGAUACUGCUUUGGAUAGAAAACAUAGUUGUGGGUUGCCAAUAAUCAGAGACAUGUCCAGAGGAUAUAUGGUUCCUUCGGAGUUGGAUUUGAUUAAAUAGGUGCUUCUAUCACAUAGUUGGCCUACACUAAUGAGAUUAUGUUUAAGGCUUUCUACGUAAGCACUGUGUAGUAUCAUAACAAUUGCAUAUAAAUGAAACAUAGCAAAUCCAAACAACAUACAUCAAUAUAACAAGCUUACAUCGUUUUACAUCAUGUUUAUGUUCUCAAAUUUUACACAAAAGAAACAUCGGUAAGCAAUUCCCAAAAUACAACAAAAUAAUCCUGAGUCCCCGAUCCAUAACCUGCUUAUUGGUUUCCUGAGAAUACAAGUCGUUUGAAAAGAGUCAACAUAAAUUAUGUGGGUGAGUUCAUAAGCACUUUCAUGUAAAACUUCGAUGAUAGUUUAGAAAUCUAGAAAAUCCAAUAUUUUCUUAUGAAAAUAGUUGUAAGUCUUGUUUUAAAUCCAGUAUAGUUGCAUGUAUGUCUUAAGUUGUCAUUUUCGAAAUCGUAUAAUAUCGUUUCCUCCAGAAAAUCCUAUAUUUUCUGAUGUAUAAAAUAGUAGCUUUACAAGACAAUAACACUUGUGUGGAAAAGGUCUCAUUUGAGGAAGUCAAAACAGAGUUGAUUGCAAACCAAAGGUGAAAUCUGUAUAAAUACAUUUCUGAUAUAUUCUUGUGAGUCGUUAUAACCAUACUAAUAUGACAAAGUGCCUGUUAUGAUGUUCUUCAGGCGUCGGUUUUGUUUGACAUUUGUCACCCUAGACUGGCUGAUCUAGCUGUAGCGAACAACGAAGGUGCGGGGUGUCAACCCCAUAUAGAUCUAUACACAAAUUUUCGCUCCCCCUCCAGGAGACUCUGGUUAUAGCUCUUACAGGACUUUAGGCGUACACUAUUAUAUAUAAAUAUAUGUACUGUGAAGAUUUUUCUGACUAGAAUACUAACAACUUUUUGAGCAAACCGUUGAAAUCCAUUAUUGGCUAAAUAAUUAGUAAUAGUUGCAUUCGUUGACUAGAUAAUUCAUUUCGUUUCAUUUCGUUUGUUGGGAUUAAUCCAUUUUGAAUAUUUAUCAAAAUGACCCAAUAUUAUCAAAGUCGGCAAAAUGGCUCUUCCCUUCAAAAAUUACUAAGUGAGACCCCAUUUGUCGGAAGGUGUCAAGUUAUGAUUUGUGUAAACUAUGACUUGUGUGAAGUUAUGACAGCAGCUUUAUGACAUGCAAAAUUUUCUAUCAUAAAGGCUCUAUUUGUAUAUUUUUUUAGGUGAAAUUAUUUAUCUCAAUUAUUCAUGAAUAAUGACUAAUAGUUUGCAAAAAGUCACUAAUUUGAUACAAAAUUUUAAUUUUCAAAAGAAUUAUAGAAACAGUGCGAAUAUAUCAAGAUAUAUUUUAACAAAUUUUACUUAUAGACAAGAAGCUAUGGGUAAAAGGGGUAUGCCGGACAUACUCAAAAAUUUGGGAGGCUCCUUUUGUAAACAAAGUAUUCCCUAUGUGGUGAUGAGAAUAUUUUCUGAACUUCAUGAGAUUUGUGAAAUACACGUUCAUGAAAAGUUAAAAUAAAAUAAUAAUAUUUCUACACACAUCUUAACAUAUGUAUACAUGCAAAUAUUCAAGAAUUUAGCACAAAAGUUGACUGGUACUCUCCCCCAAAAACAAUAAAAAACUUAGAAAAAGGUGGGGUAUGAAGCUCACCUUGGUUUAGCUUGCUGGGUGCUUUGAAGAGACGUGAGGAAGUUUUCCAAGCUCCAAAACUUGGGAGGUUCUUUAAUCUUUAGAAUAGUCUAAGAAUAAUUUUAUGUGUAAAUAUAAUGAAAUCUUAGGAAUAAUGUGGAGAAUUAUUAUUCAAAGAGGAUAAAUUACUUACAAAAAGAAAUCUGGAAAUUUUCUUUGAAGGAGAUGAGACUUGAAGCUUGAAUAAGUGGAGAGCACCCUUAGGAGUUUUCUGGAAGUGAAAAUGAGAAGUGGAACUUGGUGAGGAAGGGUUCAUGUAUCUAAAUGGGGAGAAAAAAAGUGACUUGACAUUUGCAUGGAGGGCUGGUGGCUAAACCUUAUUUUCUAGGGGUAAUGUGUGUUUUACUGAGAUUUGCAUUGGAAAAGAGGGAUUUACAUCACAUCAUAAAGUCAAACCCCUUUAUCUUCUUAAAAUCUCUUUAAAAAUCUUGCUUAUUAUUUUAUAUAAAUAUGUUUAAAAUAAUUAAUUUUGGUCAAAAAAUAGAGGUUUAAGGGGUCUAAGACAUGAAAAAUAAGAGUUUGGUGUGAUUUUCGACGCCAAAAUGCCAUAAGAUGAUGAAAAAGUCCGAAAAUGACAAAAAUCCUAAGUGGCUUCCGGAGCCUGCGAGGGUCCGAAGUCAAUUGCCACGGUUCCGGAGUCAUCCUCAAGUUUCCGGAGUCAUGCGAGGUCCGAAGUGCUUCCUUCUGAUCAGGAGUCAGGUACGAAGUCCGGUUUGUGAUCCUCGACAUCCCAAUCACAAACUUGAGAGGGCAGAAUCGAGAUUUAAACAUGUCAUUGAAAAGUUCAAUCAGUUUCAAAUCAAUCCAAUUAACACUUAAUAAAUAAUUUUGUUUUUCAUGAUGGAAAUUGGUGAAUCGUCAUUCACCUACCUUCAAAUAUUUUAUAGCUUGGAUUAUGGCAUCCCUCUUCCAGUUAUAAAGUAUUGUUUUGGGUCCUAGCCUUAAUAUUACAUUUGGGUGUCUUAUUAAGGAUUCUAUAUCUAAUAUAAACUUGUCUUUUUUCUUUUCAGAUGUCUUCCAACAAUGCUGCUUCUGGCUCAAACCCUACCUGAUCCUUCUCUUUCAUGAACCUUUGUAGGAGAGUCAUCUUUGAUGAUUCAAACUUUAAUGACUAGAUCAGGAACAUCAGGAUGGUCACACAUUACGGGGACAAGGAAUAUGUCCUCGACAAGGAGCUUAAAGAAAUUGAGGAGUCUACUACUACUUCAAAGGAGAUCGUUGACCUUAGGUCACAUGAGAGAGAUGCUACCAAGGUAGACUUGAUGGAUCGCUACCAUCAGAGUGCUCGUCAAGAGAGAUAUGAACUCAUCUCUUCCAUGAUAACAACCCGAAUGAAGGAUAGUGAAUCCAUCACAGGUCACAUGCAGAAAAUGAAAAGGUUUGUGGACCGUUUGCUGAAGUUGAAUGUGAAAUUCCUCGAGGAGUUGGCUAUUGACAUCAUACUGUACUCCUUAUCUACUUGUUAUGAUUAGUUCCAAAAGACCUAUCACAUGAACAAGGAGAAGGUCACACUUAGUAAGCUUCAAGUAGUUUUGAAGACUGCCGAAAGUGGUCUCAAUGGUAAAUCAGUUGUUACUACUCCUAAUCCUAACACCACCCCUGUUUUGGCAAUCGGGAAGAGUAGAGGGAAGAAGAGGAAGACCCCUUCAAAGGGUACCAAGGGAAAUUCUCUUGAUGGCUCCUCUUCGAGUGGAACCAAACGUGUUUCUAUCACUCCUUCCAACCUAAAAGAAGUUGAAUGCUUCUAUUGUCAUGAUAAGGGGCACUAGAAAUGAAACUGCCCCAAGUACCUGCAAGACUUUAAGGAUGGGAAGUUCAAACCUACCCAUGCAGGUAUUUACACUAUAUUGUCUAAUAACUCACCGCAUACUAAUUCUUGGGUCCUUGAUACAGGUUGUAGUAUUCAUAUAUGUUCUAAUUUGCACAGCCUAAGAGAAGUGAGGAUGUGGAGCACCAAAAGAUAAACUUGAUAAUGGGGAAUAUGAAAGCUUCACUUGUCACCAAGAUUGGAGUUUAUUCUUUGUUGCUAAGUAGUUGGUUAGUGUUAGAUUUGAAUAAGUGUUGUUACUCAUCUGAAAUGGCGAGAAAUAUUUUUUCUUUUCACGGUUUGUACAAACAACGAUUUACGCUUUCAUUUGAUAAUGUAUGUGGUCGUAUUAAUGCUUUUUAUAAUAUUGUUCUUUAUUUUAAAGCAUUACCUUGUGAUGGUGUAUAUGAAACUGUGUCGGUUGUAGACAACUUAGGAAAUAAUGUGUUUUAUAUCGAUUCUUCUACUAGUUUGGAUAAGGCAUGCUUGUGGAAUUGUCGUCUUGGACAAGUCAACAAGAAGCGCAUAGGCGAACUCCAAAAGGCUGGAGUCUUGGAGUCAUUGACUUAAAGUUGGAUGAUAGUUGCGAGUCUUGUUUGCUUGGAAAAAUGAUAAAAUCACCCUUCACUGGUACUUGUGCUAGGGGUGAAGGUUUGUUGGACCUCAUACACACAGAUGUGUGUGGACCCUUCAUAACCACCACUAGGGAUGCUAACCGCUUCUAUGUAACUUUUACUAAUGAUUACAGUAGAUAUGGUUAUGUCUACUUAAUCAAGCAUAUGCCAGAAACCUUUGAAAAGGUCAAAGAGUUUAAAUAGAAAAUAGAGAAUAAGUUGGGCAGGAACAUUAAUAUGCUCCCAUCCGAUCGAGGAGGAGAGUAUCUUAGUAUAGAGCUCCUUGACUAUCUUAAGGAAUGUGGAAUUGUUUCACAAUUGACACCUCCUAGGACACCACAGUUGAAUGGUAUGGCUGAGAGGCAUAAUCGAACCUUGUUGGAUAUGGUUCGUUCCAUGAUGAGUCGAGCUUCAUUACCAAUCUCAUUCUAGGAGUAUGCCUUAGAGACUACCACCCGUAUCCUUAAUCUAGUCCCUACCAAGAAGGUUGCCAAAACACCUCAUGAGAUGUGGACUAGCAAAGUUCCCAAUUUAGACCACAUCAAGGUUUGGGGUUGUGAGGCUUUCAUGAGACGUGAGACUCAGGACAAGAUCGAACCUCAUAGUGAGCGAUAUAUUUUAAUCGGCUACCCACAAAGAUCCGUUGGUUACCUCUUCUACAGACCCAGUGAAAAUGUGUUCUUUGUGGCAAGGAGAGGGGUCUUUCAAGAGAGAGAGAAAAUUUAUACGCUAAGGACACAGUCAGAGGCAAAUUGAUGUUGAAGAGCUUCAAGAGUCAAUUGGUGAAGGAACCUCAAACCUUGGCAAUCAACCUGAGGAGGAAACUCAUGUUGAGCCAACUGAAGAGUUUGUACCUCUGAGGCGUUCCAUUAGAGUUAGGAAUGCACCUAAACACUAUUAUGGUUUCCAUAUUACUCCGGAAGGUGAUACAUCUAUCAGUGAUAGUACACUGGUAAAUUUGGAUGAACCUAACAGCUAUAGGGAAGCCAUGGCAGGCCCUGAGUCUGCUACAUGGAAAGAGGCUAUGGACAGCAAGAUCCAGUCCAUGUAUGAAUAUCAAGUUUGGAACUUGGUUGACAAUGUACCAGGUCGUAAGAUGGUCGGGUGCAAAUGGUUCUUCAAGAAGAAGACCUACAUGGAUGGAAAAGUGCACACUUAUAAGGCGCGACUGGUUGCAAAGGGUCUCACUUAAACUCUGGGAGUUGACUGUGAUGAAACCUUUUCAUCAGUAGCAAAGAUUAAGUAUAUUAGGAUUAUGGUAGCCAUUGCUGCAUUUCAUGAUUAUGAAAUAUGGCAAAUAGAUGUCAAAACCGCUUUACUUAAUAGAAAGUUGGCUGAGGAUGUUUAUAUGAGUUAGCCAGAGGGUUUUGUCAGUGCAUAGUACCCUAAUAGAGUGUGUAAGCUUGAGAAAUCCAUUCAUUGAUUAACACAAGCAUCUCGCAGCUGGAAUCUUUGUUUUGAUGAGAAAGUCAAAGAGUUUGGUUUUUCGAGAAGCGAAGAUGAGUCUUGUGUAUAUGUUAGAGCUAGUGGGAGUAUAGUUAACUUUUUGGUAUUGUAUGUGGAUGACAUACUACUCAUGGGAACUGACAUCCCAACCUUGCAGGAGGUUAUGUCCUAGCAUAGGAAGUGUUUCGCUAUGAAGGACCUUGGGGAAGGUAUCUAUAUUCUAGGGAUAAGGAUAUUGACAGAAAGGAGUAAAAGUCUAAUUGGACUUAGUCAAAGCACCUAUGUGGACAAAGUGUUGAAAAGGUUCAACAUUCAUAAUUCCAUGAAAGGUGAUUUGCCGAUCCAGCAUAAUGCUAAACUGAGCGAAGCUCAGUGUCCGAGUACAAAGGCUGAGAUAGCUGAGAUGAGUCGAUUACCAUAUGCUUCCGCUAUUGGCUCAAUCAAGUAUGCUAUGACUUGUACCCACCCUGAUGUGGCCUUUGCUUUGAGCAUGGUCAGCAGAUAUCAGGGGAAUCCUGGCAAGGUUCACUGAACUGUGGUGAAGAACAUUCUCAAGUACAUGCGAAGGACUAAGGAUUAGGUCCUUACCCUUUGUGGGAGUGAUGACUUGAGAGUAGUAGGGUAUAGUGAUGCUAGCUUUCAGACUGAUAUGGAUAAUUUCUGAUCUCAGUCGGGUUGGGUCUUUACCAUGAACGGAGGAGCAAUUUCAUGGAAAAGUUCCAAGCAAGAGACGGUAGCUGAUUCGACAUGUGAAUCAGAGUACAUAACAGCGAGUGAAGCGGCAAAGGAGGCGAUAUGGCUAAGGAACUUCAUCAGAGACCUUGGAGUUGUACCAGCUAUAAAGGAGCCUAUAGAGAUUUUCUAUGACAACAAUAAUGCGGUUGCCUUAGCCAAGG
rnacentral:lncRNA from 1 species